CUAUUUAGCUAUCACAAAACUUGGAAAAGAAUGAACAAGGCAACAUUCUUUAAGAUUUUCUUGGUCUCCUUUUUACUUAUUUUGUUAGGACAAGGAAGCAACGCUGCGUGCUCAAGUGAUGACGAUUGUGUUAGGUGGUAGAUUGCAUAGACCUAAAUCCCAUAUGUGAUGAAACAAACAGGUGCCGCUGUCCAGGAAAACCACCAGCAACUAAUUAUAAUAAUGGACGACCUAAAAGAGUUCACAAGACAAACCAAAAGUAAUUUAUGUCUGUUAUUCUGUAAAAUUGAAUCAUGAUUUGUGUUGUUGUUUUUCAUUUUAAUAAGGUUCAAUCCAAUAAUAAGGUCUUUUGUUGAUGUUGGAAAA